AUUGAACGCUGGCGGCAGGCUUAACACAUGCAAGUCGAACGAGUGGCGGACGGGUGAGUAAUGCUUGGGAAUCUGGCUUAUGGAGGGGGAUAACGACGGGAAACUGUCGCUAAUACCGCGUACCAUAGGAUGAGCCCAGGUGGGAUUAGGUAGUUGGUGGGGUAAUGGCUCACCAAGCCGACGAUCGCUAGCUGGUCUGAGAGGAUGACCAGCAACACUGGGACGGAGACACGGCCCAGACUCCGAAGGGAGGCAGAAGUGGGGAAUAUUGCACAAUGGGGGCAACCCUGACGCAGCAAUGCGGCGUGUAUGAAGAAGGCCUUCGGGUGGUAAAGUACUUUCAGCGAGGAGGCGUUAAUCGCAGAAGAAGCAUCGGCUAACUCCGUGCCAGCAGCCGCGGUAAUAC
rnacentral:rRNA from 1 species